rnacentral:lncRNA from 1 species
CGUUGCUGAUUUCAUUACACAAAAUACAAGUAUAGAGAGCAACCAAGAAAGAAGUAGAGAGAUAAAAGAAAUAUACCGAGAGGCCGUGAGAAAGGCGAGAGGCUGCGAGAAAGAGGAGACCGGAAUGAGGCCGCGAGAAAGAGGAGACCGGAAUGAGGCCGCGAGAAAGAGGAGACCGGAAUGAGGCCGCGAGAAGGAGAAGAGACCGAGGAUGAGGGUGCGGCCGUGAGAGGAGGCUGUGAGAGUAGGAUGCGGCCGCGAGAUGAGGCUCCGGUUUCAACGGCGGUGGUGACAAUAUGAAGGUUUGGGUUUUCUCCUUUUGUCUUUCUUUGUGUGUUUUUAAUGGUGUUAAUCUCCGGUCCCCUGUUUUUGAAAUUGAUAAGGUGCUUUUAUAGAGUUUUUGUUAUGUUUAGUUGCUUUCUGGUCUGCAUUGGUCCUUCUCUAUCUAUUUCCUGUUUGAUAUUUUUUUUCUUUGCUCAUCAUCUGCGUUUUUUUUCUACACCUCUGAUGCAUUCAUGAUUUUGAUUUAUUUGCUUUGAUAUGUUCUGUUGCUGAGUUUUAAUUUGUCCCUUAGUUUAUUUUUUAAACUCAAAAUUUUGUCUCUUUGUUCUGCACAAAGUGUACCAAGACUGACUUAAAAAAAAAUGUUUUUAUGUUUCUCUAGUUAGUUACAUAGCAAAGGUCAAUGACAACUACAUCUGAAACAGAAAGGCAGCAACACAAUAGAGCCAAACACUGCAUCAGAAACAGAGAGGCAGAGAGGCAACAACAGCAACAAAUUAAAAAUUAUUGUAAUUUAAUUUAGUUUGGUUUAAAUCUUAUUGUAAUUUAAUUUUGCCUUUAUUUUAGUUUGUAAUUUGAUUUGGUU